rnacentral:lncRNA from 1 species
UUUAUAAAAGUGCCUAACAAGAUUGUGUGAGUUUGACGAAAUUGACCUUAAAACGAUCGUAUUGUCUUUUGAUGUCCAAAAAUAGGCAGAUCGUACAUAUAAAGACUUUAUCUAAUGACUACAUAAAUUUGGGAUUUAUUAUUAUUAUAAUAUUCUAAUAAAACUGAAAAAUGUAUUUUUUUGUUAAGAUAAACAAUAAUUUUACCUGGCGUAGCCGUGCGUAAAAUGUCUUUCUGUAUUUAUCUUCGGAAAAUGGCGUUUUUAAUGGAAUAGAACGUAGAAACAGUAAACUUUCCUUUUUUCUCCGUAAUAGGCUAUCAAAAAUAUUUUAUCUAAUGUGAAUUCGGAAAAUUAUGUGAAAAUAUAAAAAAGUGGCAAUUGUUACCUUUCAUACCUUAAGUUUCAUUGAUAAAACGUAAUAUGGACUGGUCCAGUGUCCAGUAUUGCGGGUCAUUUAAUUUACUUUACACAUUCACGCACGGUCUGAUUUAAUCAAUAUACUCGUACGAAAAGCAUGAACAGUUUGAAGGUAAUCAAAAAAACUUAAUCCAAUCAAAUUGCAUAAGAUUCAAUAACAAUGUCCAGUCCAAAUUAUUAUAAGUAAUAGGGGUAAACUGGGUAGGGAGAAAAUGACAGAUAUUUCAAGUUAAUAUUUAUGCAAUAACGAAUUAAAAUUU